CCGGAUUCAAUUACAAUAUUAAUAAUAUCUAACAAAUAACAAAGAGAAGGCGCAGUAAGAUGUGAUAAAAACGAGUAUGGAAUGCUGUCUUGGCCAGGGCAGGAAUCUGAUACAUGCUCUAAAACUAAUUUUAGUUCUCUCAUAGAAAAUGGCGAGCUAAAAUAGUCGUUAGAACAGUUAUUAUUAGAAAGUGAAUAUGUGUAAGGCAUUUGAGUAGCGUUAGGAACGUAGUUAGGAGCUAAUUUGUUUGUAAAAGCAUUUACCCAGUCUAAACUAAAAGAGUUACGAUUUGCGAUUGAUAAAGAAGAUCGAAAACGUUUAAUAUUGUUCCAAACAAUAGUGAGUGGAGUGUCUGGCGACAAAGAAGAACAGAACUUUUGCCAGCCAGCUUUCUUUUUUUUCCUCAACAACCGCUUGGUUGCAGCAGUAACAUUUUUUAACUUUAAAUAGUUUUCCAUACUUAGUGAAUCGCGACAUGCUUUUUCGGCAUCUUUUCUUUUUUUAAUAGCCGCCGUGCAUUCUGGAUCCCACCAAGGCGGUGAGGGUAAUUUAUUGUUGGCAACAUUUUUACGUUUAAAAACUGCAUCAGCUGAUGAUUGAAUGGCUGACACUAAGCUGUCAAAUGAGUUAUUGAGGUUAUCUUUACAAACUUUCGGCAAUAACUUGACUUUCUGCUCAACAGAUAUGCUAAAUGAAUACCAAUCACAAUUGUUUAGAAUAUAUUUACGCAAGGGAGGAAGUGGAUCUACAGAACAGUUGUUCUUUGGUAACGUAAUGACAAUCGGAACAUGGUCACUACCAUAAGUGGAUGAUAAACAUCUCCAACUCAGACUCAAAGAUAGCGUAGGUGAACAAAGUGAGAUAUCGACAAAACUUAAAGAUUGGCCGGGACAGGGUCUCCUUGUUGCUGAACCAUCGUUUAAAACGCACAGAUUUAACUCGUCUAUAAGCUCCACAAGAUCACUACCAAAUGAAUCAUUGACUGGUGCACCCCAAAGAGAAUGGUGUGCAUUAAAAUCACCUAAAAUUAACACAGGCGCAGGAAGAGAUAGGAUUAAAUUUCUUAAAAUCGGAAUAACAGAUGAAUCUUUGCAAGAAAUGUAUACAGACAGUACUGAAAUAUCCCCAAUUUUUGCAGCUACUGCAUUCAAGUGAUUAUUAUUGUAGGAAGGAAGUGCUAGUGAUGUAAAUAAGUAAUGUUUUUUAAUCAGUAGAGCGGCACCACCCCACCCAUCAUCUCUGUCAUCUCUCAAGACUGAAUAGCCACGAACUCUAAAGUUAUAGCCUGGCUUCAGCCAGGUUUCAGAGACAGCUAUGGCAAAUGGCUGGUGUUGGUUAAUUAAUGUAAUGAGUUCAAUUGUUUUAGACGAAAUGCUUCUACAAUUCCACUGGAGGAUUUGAUCCAUUUUUGAUAAUGUUAUAAAUAGAGACUGACAAGUUGUUAAUUAAAGAAAUGGCAACGGAGUACGGUAAUGCAGAGUUAACUAUAAUAUUAAUCAAUGAAGACAGCAGAUUAUUUAGAUCCUGAGAGGAGACAGAGUUUUGAAGGUGAAGGUGAUUUGGGAGAACUAGCUGUGACAUCUGAGUAUGACUUAGUGAAUGGAAACUGUUUAGAGGCUUCUAGAUAUGAUACUGUGUUAACUGACAUAUAAUGCUUUAUGUUUUUUUGUCGUAUAAAUUCGGGACAGGUUUGUUCAUUUGCUUGAUGUUUCCCUGCACAAUUAAUGCAGGAAACAUCUGUCUCGUCGCAAUUAGAGCCUGAGUGGUCCCCAGUGCAUUUAAAGCACCUGGGUUUGCUUCUGCAUUGAACCCUGGUAUGUCCAAAACGACAACAGUUAAAACACUGAAUUGUUGGGAAUAUGUACUGGUCAACAGGCAGUGAGGAAAAAAAGGAAUAAAUUCGGGGAGGAAGAGCUUGACCAUCGAAUGUAAGGACUACCGUCUGAGUGGGCAACCAUUUAGGGCCUUCAAGUGAUGUAACUUUGCGGCUAAGCCGGCGAGACCGAAUUAUUGGACCAAAGCCUUCAGGAACUCUUAAAUUUCCUACAAUCUCUUCAUGCGACCAUUCGCAGGGAAUGCCUUUGACAAUGCCCAUUUUGGUGAUAUUGUAUGUUGGGAUAGAUAAAACAUAAUCAUGUAAUAUAAUUGGAUUACACAAAAAUGAGUUUGCCGCACCAGGUGUUUUGAAUGUCACUGCCAAUCGAUUUCGCCCUAUUCGUUUAAUGCCAUCAUCCAAAAUAUUUUUUAAAUUAUUUCUGAAUAGAAAAUUCCCAAAUUUGAUGGGGUGAAGAGUGGAGCCAGAGUUGGGAGUUUCUUUUUGUUGGACAUGUACCAGAAAAGGACCUGCAUCCUGAUCCUGGUAAUUGUUUCUGCCUAUUAUAUGGUUAUUCUGUUGAGAAUGUUGGAUCACCGGAGCUGGAGGAACUUGCGUUAAAAUUUCUUGAAAAGCAGUGGUAAUGUGCAUUUUAGGAGAGGAUUUGGUCUUUAAUAAAUGUUUGUUAAUUUU